UACGUAGGGUGCAAGCGUUAAUCGGAAUUACUGGGCGUAAAGCGUGCGCAGGCGGUUUUGUAAGUCUGUCGUGAAAGCCCCGGGCUCAACCUGGGAAUUGCGAUGGAGACUGCAAGGCUUGAAUCUGGCAGAGGGGGGUAGAAUUCCACGUGUAGCAGUGAAAUGGCGUAGAGAUGUGGAGGAACACCGAUGGCGGAAGGCAGCCCCCUGGGUCAAGAUUGACGCUCAUGCACGAAAGCGUGGGGAGCAAACAGG
rnacentral:rRNA from 1 species